CCUGCCUACGGGAGGCAGCAGUGGGGAAUCUUCCGCAAUGGGCGCAAGCCUGACGGAGCAACGCCGCGUGAAUGAAGAAGGUCUUCGGAUCGUAAAGUUCUGUUCUUAGGGAAGAAGUCUUAGGUUGUGAAUAAUGACUUAAGGUGACGGUACCUAUGGAGAAAGCUACGGCUAACUACGUGCCAGCAGCCGCGGUAAUACGUAGGGAGCGAGCGUUGUCCGGAAUUACUGGGCGUAAAGGGCACGUAGGCGGGGACUUAAGUUAGAUGGGAAAACUCAGGGCUCA
rnacentral:rRNA from 1 species